CCCACCGCUUACGCGGUGGGCUAUUACGUGGCGUCGCUUCGCGACU
rnacentral:sRNA from 21 species